rnacentral:rRNA from 1 species
AGCAGCCGCGGUAAUUCCAGCUCCAAUAGCGUAUAUUAAAGUUGUUGCAGUUAAAAAGCUCGUAGUUGAAUUUCGGGAUUGACACAUCGGUCGUGCCUUAAGGGGUAUGAACUGGUGUAGUCAAUUUCUCACCUUCUGGAGAACCACGAUGCCCUUAAUUGGGUGUCGCGGGGAACCAGGACCUUUACUUUGAAAAAUUAGAGUGUUUAAAGCAGGCAUUUUGCUUGAAUACAUUAGCAUGGAAUAAUAAAAUAGGACGGCAUGAUUCUAUUUUGUUGGUUUCUAGGAUCACCGUAAUGAUUAAUAGGGAUAGUUGGGGGCAUUAGUAUUCAAUUGUCAGAGGUGAAAUUCUUGGAUUUAUUGAAGACUAACUACUGCGAAAGCAUUUGCCAAGGAUGUUUUCAUUAAUCAAGGACGAAAGUUAGGGGAUCGAAGACGAUCAGAUACCGUCGUAGUCUUAACCAUAAACUAUGCCGACUAGGAAUCAGACGAUGUUAAUUUUUAAUGACUCG